CAAGCUUCAGGAAAAUAAUUUGGGCUGAGUUCUAUCACAGCCGAUAGUGGAAUUGGCCGUUUCGUCACUACCGUGAGCAGCACUGUCUGUGUUCCCUCUGCUGUUACAGCAGCACAUUCCAGGACGGACCCCAGAGGGAGGGUCUGCGAAGGCCUGAGUUACCCCCCAGCAGCUGAGACUGGGUGAUUUCUAACUCGUACUUCUCUAUGCCCUGGUUCUCUUGCCUCAGAACCAAGGCCUGACAACAAUGGCCUCUUUUAUUUGUGGUGUUUUCCAAAGCAAUCUCGCACGCAUUUCCUCAUGUGAUAGGAGUCUCACCAAGGUUCUGUGGGGGUGUGAUUGUGCAAGAACCGUCUUCAAGAAUUGUGAACCAAAAGGGCGGACACAAAACCUGGUUUUUUGAUUCUAAGCCAGAACACGUUUAAACCAAAUCCCUGAUUCUGUCUCCGGUAGAGACAACAUCUAAGAAUAAGUUUCCCUGUCAUGUUGCAGUUUCUGUGGUAGAUUGUGACCCCUUUUUCUUACAGCGGGUCCUAUGCAGCGGUCCGACCGGCCACGGGAACUGGCUGAAGACCACUCACGUGCUCACGCUGUAUUCUGUGCUCGGAUCCACCUGUCAUGAUGGACACCUUACAGCAACAGAACUCCCAUCCAACUGGAGUAAUUCAUCAAGGAUUUUUGAUGGCAGCUCUGAGAGUUUCCGAAGUUACUGUAGAAAUCCUGUCGCUCCUUUUAAUGUAAGUGUCUUUGCUUUCCUUCAGAGUAAAAUUGAUGACAUGUGUCCUUCUUUGCAUCUUGGCUUUCUUAUUUAUGAUUAAGGAGGCUUAUGGCAGAAUCAACAGCGCUGGAAUCAUUUGAUAAUUUACAUAAACACUCUCUCUGAUCGUUAUCGGCAUUCUCGCUACACCUGGAUGGGGACCCUCCUUAGGUUUUCUUCCAUAUUUGGAAAAACAUAAGCUGAUUUAGGUGACCACUAGGGAGAGUGGACUAGGAUGAACAUUGUCUUGAAAUUGUCGUGCGAGAAAUGUCAAAGCUUCGGAGCGCCUGAGUGGCUCAGUCGGUUAAGCGUCCGACUUUGGCUCAGGUCAUGAUCUCAUAGUUUGUGGGUUUGAGCCCCGCUCAGGCUCUGUGCUGAUAGCUCAGAGCCCGGGACCUACUUGGAUUCUGUGUUUCCCUCUCUCUCUGCCCCUCCCCUACUUGCGCUCUGUCUCUUUGUCUCUCUCAAAAAUAAGUAAACAU
rnacentral:lncRNA from 1 species